AUCCUGCCCCUGGACCUGCUCUACGACCUCCUGCUCCGCCUCCCCGACAAGCCGCUCUGCCGCUUCCGUGCUGUCUGCAGGGCGUGGCAGUCCUUGCUCUGCCACCCGGACUUCAUCGCCGCUCACGACCACCGCCACCCUUGCCAGCGCCGAGCCGUCGGCGUGUACCGCUAUGGCCGGACAAGCCCCAGCAUCCUCGUCCUGGACAUGGACACCGGCCUCCUGAUCAAACGUCUAUGCCACGACGGCCCAACCCACAACCACGGCCCCCUGAGUCCUGACCGAGCGGUCUGCGUCCACAGCUUGGACAUGCGGCUGCGCCUCCUCGACCACGUCACCGGUGCCGUCUCCGUCUUACCCAGACCCGCGCCACCACGCAACUGUGUGGUCGUCUCGUACUCGCUCGGCCGGGUGGCCUCCACUAGCGAAUACAAGGUCCUGGCCAUGGUCACCCUGGUGCAACCUCGGGGGCAGGUCUGCAAGAUCCUAACCCUCACCGACGGCCAGCAGCACUGGAGGGCAACAGGCAAACCUCGUUUCGAGGUGGCAUCGCCGCUGACAAAGUCGUAUACCACCUGCCGGGAGACGACCGUAGUCGAGGGUGUCGCCUACUUCCUAGUUGUCGACGAACGGAUGGACAAGUACGCCGCCGCCGACUGGAUCAUGGGGUACCACCUGGACAGUGAGGCAUGGCGAUCGGCCGCCAUCAAAGGCCCGGCGGGCACACUCGAUGUUGGUCUUGCCGGGUUGGACGGCCGUCUCAUUGUGUGCCACGACGACCGCCGCACCCGCGUGCAGUUGUGGUCUCUCGUGGAACCCGAUCAGUCUAUCUGGUCCAUGCUGCAUAGGAUCGUCAUGCCUGGCCAUACGCUCGCCCGGACGCCACUAUCGUCACGCUUUCGCGAGUAUGUCGAGAAGCCACUGGCGAUGCUCGAAGAUGGGAAGUUGCAGUCCUCCUUCCCCAACACAGUCUUGCGUUUAUAUGACCCGAGAACCGGAACUUCGACCGACGCGGCGAGGAUGAUGGACUGCCACGACGUGAGCAUUUACACAUGUAGCAUGUUGCACUCA
rnacentral:rRNA from 1 species